rnacentral:sRNA from 2 species
AGGAGACACAGUCAGAAGAUCCUCGAUUUCUGCGAACACCUACCCCUGAGCCCGAGAUCUCAUUCAGGCUGUAUGAACGGGUGAUUAUCAAUGGGAUAAAGGAGCCUAUAAAGAUCAAGUUACGGAAUGUCACAACAAAUGAUAUGACUGUCAGCUUCUAUCGUAUUCAAUAUACUGCAAAAAGAAUAGCUGAAGAGUAUGUUAUGAAGCAGAACUGCAAGGAGAUAGAAGUUGCAAAUUGUAUAGCAGUCAUCUCAUCAAACAAACGUGGAUCUUCAAUCAAAAUCACCCUUGAGAAGGAGACAGAUUGGAGAGAGAUUAUCACUCUUUUGAAGGAGUUAUAUAAGGAGAAGAUGAGCGGAUUUAGCAUCGAGAUUACCACCUCUUUUAAUCUUCUUGAUAUCUCAACUCUAUCCUCAAACACCUCUGUAAUACGCGGUCCUGCAGCUUUCAUUGGAGUGUCGGAUUCACAAUUAACAACCCAGACAUUGGCAUCAAAAAGAGCAUUAGAUGUCAAAGAAGAAGUAAUCUCACCACCUGCCAAAUCCCCUCUCUAUCGUCCUGCCAAAUCCCCUCGAAUUCAUGAAAUAUCCGAUGACGAAAAGCUGCCGCCUACGCGUACAAGAUCCACGGCCACUAGCCAGCAGC